rnacentral:lncRNA from 1 species
CAGUCAACGGGCAAGGACGACCCGCAGGCGCCGAGGUCGAUGGAGAGGUAAUUCCCUCAUAAGCUAUACAACUGCUUAGAACCAGUUAGUGUAGAUUAAAUCAUAGUUGUGCCUGCUACCCAAAGAAGAAGCUUCGAUUCAUUGGGUUGGGAAUUCAAAUUCCUUCUCACCUAUAUCAGCAUUUUCUAAAAAAAAAUAUUUUUCUCGUUUGCCAACUGUCUACUAGUGUUGUUGCUGCUGUCUACUUUAGUUGAAAAUUAUACAAUGCUAAUCUGAUUGAACCUGGGCCUACUUAAAUUUGAUGCCAUGCUAACCACAUAGCAUGGUGCUGGAUCCAUUUCCCUUCUGGUUUAUCUCUUGGGUUAGCAUGUAUUCAAGUGCCGUUCAAUCAGAUACUGAACUACAAGAAACUUCAGGUGUUAAUAAAUGAUAUAUGCUCAUUGCUUUACAAAUUUAGGAUAAAAUGAAAUUUAGGUACAAGAUUCUAUUUGGACUGAUGCCUCUAAAAGCUAGCCUAUCAGCGCUUCAAAUUGAUUUUGCAAAUUGUAUAGGAUGGAAACUUCCUGAAACGUUCUCUUGGAUAUAGCUUCUUGACGCUACCAAAAAUUGCCUGUAUUGCUGUUGAUGAUCACUCUUAAAAUGAAAAGAAUCGGCAUACAGAAGAUAGUUUUGAGGUGUGUUAAAAUUGUGAAACAGCCAGGUAGGAUGAGGUGUUCUAUUGUACUUGGGUAAAGAUCUGGAGUACUAGUUGUGUUUUUGCAUGAAACACUUAUUUUAUCCUAGACUAUUUGCAGAUUGAGAGUGACAUUCACAUGUGAAUUACUUAAUUCAACAUUACACCUUAAGAACAUACUGAAUUCAGUACUAUUACUGACUUUGGCUGAUUGACUGACCUUGCAUCAGUACUAUAUUUAGCAUCUCAAGAACACUUGUCGAGUUUCUUGGUUUUAAACUUUUUUUAAAGAAGGCAAAAGAUUUGCCUUAUAUAUUAAUUAAGAGGGGAAUAGAGAGUACGAUACAUGACCCAAUACACAAAGUGAUUACUCUCCUGAUAAGAUGACACCUAAUUUUUUUGCAUCUGCGGUCACCCAUAGACGAGCUUCUUCUUUUAUGGAGCGGAGCAAAAUCGGCGGCGGCACACUUUUGUUGCGGAAAACCCGCGUAUUUCUUUCGUUCCAGAUAGCCCAGCAGACAAGCAUGGUCAUGGACGACAUUGCCUUCCUAUUGGGGAUGGGGGAGUCUGACCUCUUGACCCACCAAUCUUUGACAGACCUCUCGAGAUGCCAAGUGUCGGUGUCGAUGCUCUCUAAAUGUAGCCAGUCCUUAAUCGAGAUCCAACGUCGCCUAGCGAAGUGACACUUGAAGAAGAUGUGGGCACCAGACUCCUGCUCCCGCUUGCACAACGGGCAAAGACCACAAUUCGGCCAACCACGUUUGGUCAACCUAGAGCCUAUUUUGAGUGGCCAACCAAGCAAAGAAUUUUACUUUUGGGGGAGCCCAAGAUUUCCACACCGCGUGCUCCAUGGGGGAGUAGAAGCUUCUCAAAAACUGGGCUGCGUAGGCGCAAGCCGCGAAAUAUUGCCCAUCGUUAGUGUGCUUCCAAAUAAUCUCGUCCUCGGCAUGAGCGUCAAGCUGAAAGUCAUGGAUGAUUGUCCAGAGGGCCAUGAAUUGGCGAAUGUGCUCCAAGGCGAAGUUCACCGACAACUUGAUCUUGGGCACCCAAACAUUGCUGGAAAGAGCCUCCUUUAUCUUCCAAUUUUUCCUAGCAGAAGCCGCAAAAAUGAGUGGUACAAUGCCCUUGGGUUUCCGGUUGUUUAUCCAUGGCGCAUCCCAAAAGGGCGUCUUCGCAUGAUUCCCAAUGGUGAUAGUUGUAGAAGCGUAGAAGAGAUUAAGAUCUUGUUUGUCGCAAGGGCUGCCCAUGCCCACCCACAACUUUGAGGGCUCCGUCCACUCAAACCAAGGCCAUCUUAGCCGAAGCGCUCUUGCGAAUUUAGCUGUGUUGAGCACACCGAGCCCUCCCCGCUCAAACAGGUGACUCCCGUCAGCUUCCAUCCACUUCAAAUGCAGUUAAUUGGCCUUAGUUUUAUCAGCAGUCCAUGGUUAUUUGAUACUAAUUGUUAGACUUAGAAUUGAAGUACCUUUUGUACAGCAUGGUAACUCCCAUCACACAUGUCCGCUUGAAAAAACCCUUUUUCCGCUGCCUAGUAUUAGCAAAACCUGAACAGUUCACAGAUAGUUCUCCUUGGUCUUAUUGUUUCCUAGUUCUUGCACAUACAUUAGAUGACUUCUGAGCUGCCAACAAAGCCAAUUUUUCUCUUGGAUAUUUUCUUGCAGAAUGGAUAAGCUGACAUUCAUUUUGUCAAGUGUUUGCAUGUGCUUGUUCAUGCAAAGAUCAUUUUGCACUCUGAAUUCAUGCAUGCCAAGACUUUGAAUUUAUAUAUGUGUAUCUUUUCACUUCACACGAAUUAACUUUAACCCUUGUCGCGGGUUUGAUCUAUGUAGCUUCCAGUAAAAAGAUGCAUCACAUUUGUCACGGUUUGGUCUAUAUAGCAUCCAGAAAAAAGAUGCCUCAUAUUUGUUGCGGGUUUGAUCUGAUGUUCGGUAUAUGAGGCCAUGAACCGAGAUCCCAUUACAAAUUUUACUGCUAUUUCCUUCAAAAAAUUGUUUGUUGCUAGAAUUUGGGUAUUUGACACUAUGUUUGAGCUCGCGAUGACUACAUAAGAUGGUGAAGGAGGCUGCGAGGCUUGGCAAGGUGAUGGGAGAGGAACUAAAUAAUUCUUUACUUAAGCUUUUUGCAGAGUGUGUUCUGCUUUCGCCACUAGUUUUCCAUAAUAAAUCUGAGAAUAAACAUUCGGCCCAUAUGAAAGCCCAUUUUGUUGUUAUCGUAAAACAUGUUCCUUUUUUUUAUUGUUCACAGAUUCUCAUUUGUUUGCUCUUCGAGAAGAUAAUUCUUUCUCAUGCCGGACAAUUUGAAUGCUUACUACUUCCUAUAUUUGUGAAAUCUCUUAAUGUUGUUGUGCUAUAUUUUACGAAAUCUUAGACAUCAGAUUGUGUGCUUAAUACUGCUACAGUUGCAAAAUGUUGGAUGAGCAGUUUCGCAUAUGAUCAGUUUGAAUGGUUAUACUGCAGCUGGGAUUAACCAAAUAGUUAAAUCAAUAGCAGGGAUUGCAGGGUUGCUAGGGAAUCAACCCCCACAGAUUGGCUGACAAGUAGGGGAUCAACCUAAUCACUGGGUGGAUUAAUUCCACUAUGGGAUUGGUUCCCCUAUAACCAAACAAGGCCUAUGGUUUUCCUGCAUCUGGUGGAACAUUGUAACAAAGAUGUACUUUGCCUCGAACGCAUAACCAGUUUCGGAAGCGGUGUUCAUCGUCCUGCACAUGUACUUCCGUUUUUUCCUGUUUCUUGGUUUGGACCUACAUAAAUUAUGCUGUUCAAUCAUACGAGCGAGGGUUCUAACCUGUGGAGCCCAUGUCAUGAAUUUGCAGGCAGUACAGGUGAGAAAGCUAACACACCAUUGGAGCAGCAUGCGAGUGAGGUGUACACUAGGGCCCACGUUCAAGAAGUUUGGUGAGCUACAAGGUCGAACUGGUUGAGCAAGGCGUGAAGUACCUAGUGCGGCGGCACCUUCCGGAGAGGCAUGGCAAAUGAUGCAAGGUGGUGUAUAAGGCCACAGUUGAUGGAGGGGGUGAUCAGUUUCUAUGCGAGUGUUGAAACUUCGAGCACACGGGAAUAUUGUGCUGUCAUUCACUGAAGGUACAUAAAAUCUGUUCAAUUGCUUCAUUCCUGUGGCGGCGGUGUUUAUUGGAUCAACAUGCGGCAUCUCGAUUAAUGAUGCUAUUCCGCUGCAAGUCAUGGAUUUUAUGGGAGUCAUGUGGAGACACCCCACACAGAGGUGACAUGCUGAAGAAACCAGGGAGGGAUUGAGCCGAAAUGCACCAACUGUGGUGUAGGUGGUCACUAGCGAAACACGUGCGGAAACCGAAGUAGUAUCGUGCUUCAUGCAGUGCCUCCUGCUGAAACACGAAUCCGGCUGGAGGGGACUAUUAUGUACCCGCUUUGUUGCUAGUUUUGGGUUCGGUUUGUACAAUUUGAUGCUGUCUUGUUUUGGCCGAAUGUAGUUCUUGUAUUACUCAUAUCCAUCGUAGUUGUAAUAAUUAUAGUCAUGUUUUGGCCAACUUUGGGAGGACUUAAGGCCGAAUUGCUGUAUGGCUUGGGUCAGGACCAGAUGCCGUUUUGGACGCUAUUAAGCAUGACUGUAACCGUGUUUUGAUUGAGUAAUACAAG